GUACUGGUGUGCAGCAUAGACAAUAUGCCCACACAGCUGCCCAGGGAAGCCACGGAUUUAUUCGGGUCUCUGCUGCUGCCUCACAAGUAUGACAUCUUGCAGUCUGAUGCUUCCAAGCCCUUUGAGGAGCAGUCGUUCACCCACGAAUUGCAUGGGGUCCACAGGCUGGACAGCUAGAGCUCGACUUCUCGCGUAUCCUAGCUGGUGGCAUCCUCCAUAGCCCAACCAUCUCCAUUCGUGGUGUAUACUCAGACCCAAAAUGCCCUAAGAAAGUUCCCUAUCGGACCUGUGGUGGUCUUGAGGAGGAUGACAUCCUGGAUGACAAGUCAACCUCCUGGUGGAACAAAUUGAGAGGAAAAGUCUCAGAUGGUGGUUCAUUCUCUGAUGAUGCCGCUGCUGGUGCUGCUGUCUGCUGCCUUUUCCAUACUUCUCUCCUUCUGGCUCCAGUGUUAAGCUUCCUUGCAUCUGCCUUCCACUAAGGUACUUCUCCUCAACUUCAGCUUGCUUUUCACCAUAUGUUAUUCAGUACUGAGUUAAAUGCUUCUAUCUUAGCAUAUGUAGUUAUACAAUAAUUACAAAUGCAUAUUUUAUUUAAAAAAAAUGUACAGAACACAGAUGUGAUUGCCAGUUUGUAGCUACAGGAGUAGAGCUA